rnacentral:rRNA from 1 species
AACGCGAAGAACCUUACCUGGUCUUGACAUCCACGGAAGAUUUCAGAGAUGAGAAUGUGCCUUCGGGAACUGUGAGACAGGUGCUGCAUGGCUGUCGUCAGCUCGUGUUGUGAAAUGUUGGGUUAAGUCCCGCAACGAGCGCAACCCUUAUCCUUUGUUGCCAGCGGUCCGGCCGGGAACUCAAAGGAGACUGCCAGUGAUAAACUGGAGGAAGGUGGGGAUGACGUCAAGUCAUCAUGGCCCUUACGACCGGGGCUACACACGUGCUACAAUGGCGCAUACAAAGAGAAGCGACCUCGCGAGAGCAAGCGGACCUCAUAAAGUGCGUCGUAGUCCGGAUUGGAGUCUGCAACUCGACUCCAUGAAGUCGGAAUCGCUAGUAAUCGUGGAUCAGAACGCCACGGUGAAUACGUUCCCGGGCCUUGUACACACCG